AGUUGGGCGGGCGGGGCCUAAACACAUGCAAGUUCGAACGGUAACAGGCAAUCAGCUUGCUGCAUUCGCUGAAAAGUGGCGGACGGGUGAGUAAUGUCUGGGAAACUGCCUGAUGGAGGGGGAUAACUACUGGAAACGGUAGCUAAUACCGCAUAACGUCGCAAGACCAAAGAGGGGGACCUUCGGGCCUCUUGCCAUCGGAUGUGCCCAGAUGGGAUUAGCUUGUUGGUGGGGUAACGGCUCACCUAGGCGACGAUCCCUAGCUGGUCUGAGAGGAUGACCAGCCACACUGGAACUGAGACACGGUCCAGACUCCUACGGGAGGCAGCAGUGGGGAAUAUUGCACAAUGGGCGCAAGCCUGAUGCAGCCAUGCCGCGUGUAUGAAGAAGGCCUUCGGGUUGUAAAGUACUUUCAGCGGGGAGGAAGGGAGUAAAGUUAAUACCUUUGCUCAUUGACGUUACCCGCAGAAGAAGCACCGGCUAACUCCGUGCCAGCAGCCGCGGUAAUACGGAGGGUGCAAGCGUUAAUCGGAAUUACUGGGCGUAAAGCGCACGCAGGCGGUUUGUUAAGUCAGAUGUGAAAUCCCCGGGCUCAACCUGGGAACUGCAUCUGAUACUGGCAAGCUUGAGUCUCGUAGAGGGGGGUAGAAUUCCAGGUGUAGCGGUGUAAAUGCGUAGAGAUCUUGGAGGGAAUACCCGGUUGGCGAAGGCGGCCCCCCUGGGAAGAAUAACUUGACACCUUUCAUGUUGC
rnacentral:rRNA from 1 species